GAGGGGGCCCUGCACCUGCCAGGCUACUUGUGCCCCCCACCCAGGCACUCAACCCCCUUGGCACUGCAGCUUUCACGGGAUGCGCACAGGGCCUUGGCCUUCUUCUGUGAGAACACCCUCAAGCAGAAGUCCCCAUCCUGGAAGGGCUCGAAGGUAGAUGGCACCAGCAGGUACUCCCCCGGGGGCAGCAGCAGCCGGCUGGACACCUCCCGCAGGAACCACCAUCAACCCCCCAGACUCUUCUCUGCAGCUGAGGAGCUCAAGCCUGUGGCUGGUGGUGGGGUGAGGGGGAGCUGAAAUCCUGCUGCUCAAGCAGAAGCCGCCAGAAAGGCCUGCUCACCGCUGCCUCUGGGAGAGUGUUUUGCAAACUGACCGGGCCAUCAAUCUGGGAGGCCAAGGAGGCAGAGAUCAGGACAUUUGCUUCUGUUCCUACACAGAGAGGAGCCCGGGGCGAGCAGUAACCGCCUGUUCAGACAGGAAGCGCACUUCUAACCUGGGACAGUCCUGGAUGACCUGCGAGGCCGUCUACACCUGAGAAAUCCGAAGGGAGAAGGGAUCUCGUUUUGUACUUUAUGUUCUAGUUAUAUGAUGGCCAGGACCCCAUGUUCUGCAGGACUAAUAACGGGGGCUCGAUGAGAGCAAACACCUCCCUGACCUGCAUGCCCGGACACAGACCCAAAGCAGUGAAGCCAAAGGAAGGAGAGGGACAGUCACCUCAGAAAAACACAAUCCUAAGCCCCAAAGACAGGCCUGCCUGGCCUGAGUCUGUUGUCACAGCAGGAAGACUAUAGGGACGGAGCAGCACAGACACAUGGGGCUCUGUGGCCUUUGGGGCAUCAGCGCUGCUCCCUAAUGGGUGACAGGCUUUCAACCUACACAGCAGCACCCGGGCGCGGGAAGCGUGUGCCUCGGCUUACAGCACAGCGCUGCGCAGAGCCGACGCUCACUAAAGCACGGUGCACGGACUCGCGAUCCUCAGGGCUUCCCAGGGCCCUGUCCCCACGAGCAGAGGAUCUGGGCUGGCGCUGCGCUCGCUCUAGGUGAGGCGGAGGGCCAAGCUGGCGCAAACCGCAGCGCAGCUUCUUUAUUUGAAAAUCUUUUCUCCUGCCAUCAAGCCACCAAUUAUUUUUCGUCGUGCCUUCUUCCACCACAAAAGACACACACACAUCACAACCUGGACUCAAAAGCCCUAAGUUCUAGGACAGGAGGAAAAAAAGGGGCAGGAGG